GCCCUUCAAGCCAAUUCACUCUCUAUAUUCUUCUCUUCCUCCACAGUCACAGACCUCCUCUCUCGAGUGUCAAUGGCGAAGAACGACGCGUCCUUCGGAUCAGUGGGUGAGUUCUUGAAGUGGUGCCAGCAAUCCGGCGAGCCUUCGACGAUCGACAUCUCCAGAGAUCAUAGCCAAACGGGCACAUGAGGCUCUACGAUGAUCUCCUUACCAAUGGGUACUACACGACGCGGCUGUGGAUUGGGACAACACCUCAGAUUGUCGCUCUGAUUGUGGAUACGAGGAGGAGUACAAUCACUUAUGUGCCUUACUCUAACUGUGAACCGUGUGGUAACCAUUAGAGAAAAAGAUUGGAGACUUACAUCAUUGCAAUUGCUGAUAAGUUGGCCUAGGAAUAUUUCUUUGUUGCUGUAAAGGUAUUGAUGGUCAAGCUAACAAGCUGGUUAAUCUCUACGUGGAAUGCGAAUGUCUCAGCAUCACUAAUGUAAACAUCAGCCGUUGUAGAUAGUGCUUGUGAGAUUAGAUAGCCAAAUUGCAGAGCUUCAAAUGUGGCUUAUCUAGGGGUGCUGAUUGUCAUCAAUGAUAGAUGGCGAAAUUAGAAAUGAUAAUUUUGACAUCAAUUGAAGCAUUGGAAGUGAACUCUGAUGCGACGACAUUUAUUUCAAUGCUCAGUUUAUAAUUGUGUUGAUUCAUAAUGACUUAUGCAUAGUGGUGGUAAAUUGCAGUUAAUCUGAAUCAUGAUGGAUCUGGAAGGAAAGCCAAAAGUGACCAAAGGGAGUGUUGAACAUGAAAAGGGCGUCACAUCAUUCCAGUUUCAGAGCCAUAACCACUUUGCAAACGCAUCUGUCGCAAGUGGAAUCUGAAGACGCUGAACCAAAAAUUUCUAAUUACAAUAGCUUGGAUCUCUGCAAAUAUAGAGCUUAUAUAACCAAGAUAUUUGCGGAAUUUAGGCAAUGAUGGAUCUCUGCAAAUUUAGAGUUUUAGAAAUUUGUUUAGGGCUUAGGAUGCAAGUCACUGGCCAAUUGUAAACUCCAGCUUACUGAAUCAAUUAGUUUUUUUGUAUUUUUUUUAUAAUGUCACUGUUAUGUUUAGUUUUCCUUAAUGGAAUAUUAAUUUUAUAGAUCUUUUGCAGCUCA